GACGAACGCUGGCGGCGUGCUUAACACAUGCAAGUCGAACGGAAAGGCCCUGCUUUUGUGGGGUUCUCGAGUGGCGAACGGGUGAGUAACACGUGAGUAACCUGCCCUUGACUUUGGGAUAACUUCAGGAAACUGGGGCUAAUACCGGAUAGGAGCGCCUGCUGCAUGGUGUGGGUUGGAAAGUUUCUGCGGUUGGGGAUGGACUCGCGGCUUAUCAGCUUGUUGGUGGGGUAGUGGCUUACCAAGGCUUUGACGGGUAGCCGGCCUGAGAGGGUGACCGGCCACAUUGGGACUGAGAUACGGCACAGACUCCUACGGGAGGCAGAAGUGGGGAAUAUUGCACAAUGGGCGGAAGCCUGAUGCAGCAACGCCGCGUGAGGGAUGACGGACUUCGGGUUGUAAACCGCUUUCGCCUGUGACGAAGCGUGAGUGACGGUAAUGGGUAAAGAAGCACCGGCUAACUACGUG
rnacentral:rRNA from 1 species